UGCAGGAGGCAGCCAAUCAAUGAUUCUCAUCAUUGAUGUUUCUCUCUUCUUCUUCUUCCUUCCUCUCUGAAAUCAAUACAAAUAUACAAAAUAAACUACAGACUUCAGAUUUCUUGUUUUCCUAGUCAUGCUCCCUUUUUGUUUCAGGAUGCUACCCAAGGUCCCUCAUUGAAUUUAGUCAUGUCUCCUUAGACUCCUCCGGUCUGUGACAGUUCCUCAAUCUUCCAUGACCUUGACAGUUCUGUAAAGUACUGGUCAGCGGUGGUGUACACUGCCUCUUGAUUUGGUUUGUCUUGAUUAGGUUGAGGUUUUUGUAUUACUGAGAAGGAUACCAGGAUACCAGAGAGGUGAUGUUCUCUUGGAGGGGUGGGGGGAGAGUUCUGAUCUGACUAUGACUCAUCGCUGGUGAUGUUAACCUCCGUCCCUUUGAUUAAGGUGGUGUCUGCCAAGCUCCUCCACAGCGAAGCUGCUGGUUCCCCUAGGGCUGUUCUGAGGACUGCCUGUUAAAGAGUCUACAUAGUUCACACGUACCAUUGUGGUCUGUGCUAAUAUAUACCAAAAAAAAUAUGU